CAGCCGCCGCGGGAAUACAGAGGGUGCGAGCGUUAAUCGGAUUUACUGGGCGUAAAGCGUGCGUAGGCGGCUUCUUAAGUCGGAUGUGAAAUCCCUGAGCUUAACUUAGGAAUUGCAUUCGAUACUGGGAAGCUAGAGUAUGGGAGAGGAUGGUAGAAUUCCAGGUGUAGCGGUGAAAUGCGUAGAGAUCUGGAGGAAUACCGAUGGCGAAGGCAGCCAUCUGGCCUAAUACUGACGCUGAGGUGCGAAAGCGUGGGGAGCAAACAGGAUUAGAUACCCCAGUAGUCCCUGUCUCUUAUAC
rnacentral:rRNA from 1 species